rnacentral:rRNA from 1 species
AUGCUUAGCGUUUUGGCGUUGUCUGUGUGUGGUCUUGCGGGCGUCUCACCUCAAACACAUCCCAGGACGGUGCACGAGUUGCUGAGGAAACGCCCAAGCCUGUGGCCUCUCGACCACAACUUCGUCUCAUGGAAGCUGUUGGAUGUGGACAUCUAUGUUGAUCCAUCAGCAUUCGCAGCUUCGCACCUCAUUCUUAACAAGACUGCCAACAAGUGGAGGUGGGUCAAGAAAGAACCGCAAGCGACUCUAGCAGGGCUAGACUUCAUCAACAACCUCUCCGAUGAUAUGUUGAUAGUCAUCAUAUCCCUCCUCCCAAUCAAAUAUCUGGCGAGGACAGCCGCCCUUUCCCGGCGGUGGUGCCCCCUAUGGCUCCUCACCCCUGUGGACCUCCUCGACGCCCACGAGCUCUGCCAUGGCUAUCACCAAAGCUUGGAUGCGUUCUCCCAGAUAUUCGGCAGUCACCAUGGCCCAAUCAAAGGCCUUAUCACGGGCAAGUUCCGUUCCAAUGGCAAGGACCGAGCCAAGCUUGAUGAGUGA